UACAGAGGGUGCAAGCGUUGUUCGGAAUUACUGGGCGUAAAGCGCGCGUAGGCGGCCAGAUAAGUCCGGUGUGAAAGUCAAAGGCUCAACCUUUGAAUGCCGCUGGAAACUGUCUGGCUAGAGUCCGGAAGGGGCGAGUGGAACUCCUGGUGUAGCGGUGAAAUGCGCAGAUAUCAGGAAGAACACCAAUGGCGAAGGCAGCUCGCUAGGACGGUACUGACGCUGAGGCGCGAAAGCGUGGGGAGCAAACAGG
rnacentral:rRNA from 1 species